AGUGAACGCUGGCGGUAGGCCUAACACAUGCAAGUCGAACGGCAGCACAGUAAGAGCUUGCUCUUACGGGUGGCGAGUGGCGGACGGGUGGGGAAUACAUCGGAAUCUACUUUUUCGUGGGGGAUAACGUAGGGAAACUUACGCUAAUACCGCAUACGACCUACGGGUGAAAGCAGGGGAUCUUCGGACCUUGCGCGAUUGAAUGAGCCGAUGUCGGAUUAGCUAGUUGGCGGGGUAAAGGCCCACCAAGGCGACGAUCCGUAGCUGGUCUGAGAGGAUGAUCAGCCACACUGGAACUGAGACACGGUCCAGACUCCUACGGGAGGCAGCAGUGGGGAAUAUUGGACAAUGGGCGCAAGCCUGAUCCAGCUAUACCGCGUGGGUGAAGAAGGCCUUCGGGUUGUAAAGCCCUUUUGUUGGGAAAGAAAAGCAGCAGGUUAAUACCCCGCUGUUCUGACGGUACCCAAAGAAUAAGCACCGGCUAACUUCGUG
rnacentral:rRNA from 1 species